UUGCGUCUGUGGUGGGCGGAGUGGCGGACGGGGUCGAGUAAUGCAUCGGGACGUACCCAGACUGGGGGAGUAACGUAGGGAACGUUAACGCGUAAUACCGCCGACUACGUCCUACGGGGGAAAGCGGGGGAGUCUUCGGACCUCGCGCGGUUGGAUGGACCGAUGUGCGAUUAGCUUGUUGGUGAGGUAAUGGCUCACCAAGGCGACGAUCGCUAGCUGGUCUGAGAGGAUGAUCAGCCACACUGGGACUGAGACACAGCCCAGACUCCUACGGGAGGCAGCAGUGGGGAAUAUUGGACAAUGGGCGCAAGCCUGAUCCAGCAAUGCCGCGUGUGUGAAGAAGGCCUUCGGGUUGUAAAGCACUUUUAUCAGGAGCGAAAUCUGCAGGGCUAAUACCCAUGCAGUCUGACGGUACCUGAGGAAUAAGCACCGGCUAACUCCGUG
rnacentral:rRNA from 1 species